CCUACGGGAGGCAGCAGUGAGGAAUAUUGGUCAAUGGGCGUAAGCCUGAACCAGCCAAGUCGCGUGAGGGAUGAAGGUUCUAUGGAUCGUAAACCUCUUUUAUAAGGGAAUAAAGUGUGGGACGUGUACCCUUUUGUAUGGUCCUUAUGAAUAAGGAUUGGCUAACUCCGUGCCAGCAGCCGCGGUUAUACGGAGGAACCGUGCGUUUUCCGGAUUUAUUGGGUUUAAAGGGUGCGUAGGGGGCCUUUUAAGUCCAGGGGGAAAGUCUGUGGCCCAAACAUAGAAUCGCCGUUGAAACUGGGAGGCUGGAGUAUGUGUGAGGCAGGCGGAAUGCGUGGUGUAGCGGUGAAAUGCAUAGAUAUCACGCAGAACCCCGAUUGCGAAGGCAGCCUGCCAGGCCAUGACUGACGCUGAUGCACGAAAGCGUGGGUAUCAAACAGGAUUAGAUACCCGAGUAGUC
rnacentral:rRNA from 1 species